UUUUUCCUUUUUUCCUUUUUUCCUUUUUUCCGCCGGGCAGAGCCGGGGUGAGCCGCAGCUUCCCUUUCUCCCUGCUCAGCCCCAGGGCCUGAUCCUGCAUAGCAGAAUAGGGAAUGGGGGUGUCCCACUGCUCCGGGAGCGACUGGGAGCAGCCCUGGGUUAUCCAAGGGGACAAACUUGGGGGGGGGGGGGGGGUGUCCAUGCAUUCCCGAGGGGAUGGGCUCAGCUCCGGUGUGCCCCCGUUGCUAACCUCUUCUGGGUUCAGCACCCUCCUGGAAAGUUGGGAUUUGGGGCGCCGACACUCGUCCCGAUGCGGGUGUCCCAUGGGAUGCACCAGUCCUGCUCGGGGGGGGGGAGUGAAGCGGCACUGGGGGCACCCCAGCCCUGUGAUGGGGAGCCCAGCACUUAUCAGGGUGGGGGCAGGAGCCGCUGGCAGCUGCUGAUAAGAGCCCUGAGGAGGGACCUGCCCGUCCCCCUGCUCCAGCCCCACGGACCCAGGGACGUCCCUGCGCCUCGGAAGCAGGGGGGGGGCCCGAUCCUGGUUCUGGGGCAGCCGAGACCCUCCGGUCCCCACGGACAGCCCUGGCCCAGGAGGCUGGAGCCGCCGACGGUGCCUUCGGGCUGCGAAGAGCAAAGUCGUCGUGUGUCGUGUCCCCGUCCCCCCCCCAGCCCCGUGCUUCCCAAAUGCUGUUAUUUCCAGGGUGUCACCCAGCCAGAGAGGGGACGCCGCCACGCAGGGACUUGCGGGUGCUUGGGGGUCCCUGGGGCAAGGGUGGCACCUCCCUGCCCCCUGGCUCCGGUGGGUUUAUUCCCCAAAUAUUAUUUUUGAGCUUAUUUUUAGGGAGGAUGCUUUGAAAUAUUUUGACGCUGGUGCCUUUUCUACCCUAGAUACGGAGGGGUCCGGCCGUGGGGACCUGAUGUGGCUUGAGGUCCUGGGGGGUGGUGGCACCAGCUGCAAAGAGCAGGGAGGGGAAAUCGUGUUUGUGUGUUGGUUUUUGGUUUUUUUGGGGUUUUUUUUUUUGCAAAAAGAAGUGAGAAAAAUGUCAUCUCUCGGGGAACUGAAACAGCUCGGCAAAUCAGAGCGUCGUUAGAAAAGGGUCAGGUCAAUGGGGAGAUUCUGGCCGAGGAGGGCUUUAUUUUUUUUAUUUAUUUUUUUUUUCCCUGCUGCCUUCUGGCUCUCUUUGAGGCAUCCGAAAUAUUUUGUUCAAAAGGAAGAAAUCCUCCAACUACAGGCGGCGUUUCUGGUCAUAAAGUCAUGCUGGGAGGGGCUGAGCCUUUUGGGGGAAAAAAAAAAAAUAGGGGGGGGGGGGGGAAAAACCCCUUCCUCUCUUUUCUGCUGCAGUUUUUCCCCCCCCGCCCCCCAACCCCAGCGUGUCUGGCGAAAUCGGCACCGGCGUCUUGUGGGGUCACCGCUCGGCGUCCCCUCCCCGUCUCGCUUUUUCCCAGCGACAUCAAAUAACUGGGAUGAGACGGAGCCCAAUUUGGGAGUGGUGGUUUGGGCUCGGGGCGCAGGGGGCGUGAGCUCGGCUCACCUCCUCCAGUACUUAAAUAUGUAUAUAAAAUAGAUUAUAUAUAUUUUUAUGUAUAUAAAUAUAUUAAAAAAUUCUUUUUUAUUUUCCUAUAUAUACAAAUAAAAAAAAAUAUAUCUCCAUGGGGAUGUAUCUGGGCUUUCGGGGUGGCCGGCGGCAUCCCAAGCCGCAGCACCCCUCUCUCCCAGCCCAACAUCCCAAGGUUUUUCUCCCCAGGAGACCUUUUGCAGCCCCAUGCCGUGGCGUCGCGCCCCCCCGCCAACCCCCCCCACCCCCCCCUUCAGCGGCCAGGAAGGGACAAAAUAUCUUUUUGUCUUCGUUUUUAUUGUUACUGCCCGUCCCCUGCUGUGUUUGCAAGAGGACGGGGAGGUGACACCCCCCGCUCUGGGUGGGACGCCACCUCCCCCGUCCCUCGUCCACCCCAUCUUUGCUGCUCCUCUCCUCCGCCGAGGCCCUAUUGAAGUACCACCCCCCACCCCCCGGCUUUUCCCACCCCCACAGGCACCCGUGGGUGUUUUAUCCUCAUAUUAAAAGCAGAGAGAAGCGGGUGCCCAGGACCCAGCAGCUCCCCCCUCCCCAAACUGGGAGCCGGUGCCUGGAGCCAGCAUCACCCUGAGCAUCGCAGGGGGGAGGCGGCGGCGGCGGCGAAGCAGGAAAGCUCUUCAAAAGUGCUAUUUUUUUUUUUUUUAAAUCCCUUUUUAUUUUCCCCUACGCUCUCGCAAAGCUUGGCCUUAGCAGCGAAUCCCGGGUUGGGCUCCAAAUUUCCCUCCCCCCCCCCGCCAAGAUUUAUUUUAAACCCACAAAGGAUUUACCGUGGGCACCCGGCGCUUCCCGUGACGGAGCAGCAGCACCCAGGCAGGACCGGCCCGUUGCUUUAUUUUUCUCCCAUUUUUCUGCUACGGUCCCAAAUUUCUCCCAUUUUUCCGCUCCACCGCCCUCCUUGAACUCAUCGGAUCAGUUUUAAACACACACCCCCCUUCCUUUUUUUUCAGGUGGUCACAAUUAUAACCCAAUAAAUCCCUCACCCUGCGAUUUGUA